rnacentral:lncRNA from 1 species
AUGGUGGGUCUGAGUACUAUAGCUCUUGACCUGACUUGUGAUUGGAUGUAAGUAUUUUCUAUCUUACGGUUAAAUAUUUUAAGAGAUAGAAGUUCACCAUUUUUACUUCUUAGUUUAUGGAGUGCCUCUUUUGGUGCCAUUCUAUUACUAUCUUAGCAUUAUCUGGCCCAAGUCUAAAAUUCACGUAAUGAAUUAGUGCCUAUCGAAG